GUUUAUUUCUGAAAAUAAAUUUUGUUGAAUUUCUUCUUAAGGUGGAAAUUUGUUUUUCAUUCCUUUUCUUUGCAUGUGAGUUUUGUAUCAGUUGUGGAACUCUAUAGCUCCACUACAUAUUUGGGUAUUUGAAUAUUUGAAUCUGUUGUGCUUUUUCCAGGAAAUUCUGAAUUUUAGGAUAGUCUACAGGUACCAUAAAUUGAGAAGUCCAAACAAUUCAUUAUCUUCCUUGAAGCCCAAACCUGCCAUUUUUCUCAGAUAGGAAAGCCACCAAACAUAGGGAGCAUGCCUGCCACUUCCCUCUGGCCCGUCUCUGGCUCAUCCGCCACAGAGACCUAUUUAUUACAUCCCCUGAGUAUUCUUCUAAUUCCCCCUCCUUUCCAUCCCCACUCUUUCAGCCACACUUCAGGACCAUGGUCUGUGCAUCGCUUAGUCUCAUCCUAAUUUAUCCGCAGCUCCACCCACUCCAACCUCCUCUCCCCUCUCUAAGACAACCUUUACUUCCCCACCUAUGCCUGUUCCAAUUUACUGUCUCUGAACCCCACAUAUGCCCUUUUCUGCCCUACAUUAUGAUAACUGGAGCUGGACCUAAUUUCUUUCGUUAGCGGGCACAAUGUUAGACCUUGUCAGUAGAGGGCGCUAGAGGGACACUGCACAAGGAAGGGGCUUCUCUUCUGGUUCCAGCUCUGUUCUUAGAAAACAAUGAGCUGUCUCCUUGCCAACCAGCAGCUCCCUUGGUAGGGGCAUGCAGAAGACCUGAUGACACAAACCCUCCAAAGAGUUUCACCCUCACCACAACAGGUGGCUUCCUGCUCGGCAGCCCAUCCUGCAUCACUUCAGUGGACUUCUCUGACAUCUACUAGACCACAUUAAAUGAAUCACAGCCUUGAAACUGAACUGGAAGGACUUCCUUCAAGGAGCCAGCAUAUGAACUUGCUGCCUAUCUUUAGCAAGGAGAUGCAAAUGACAUCCACAAACCUCUUCUGCUGUAUACCUGGAUGAAAGCAAGGCUAGCUGUGUGUCCUAUGGCACCAAGGACUGAAAGAUUGUAAGAAGUAAGAGUCUUGCUCUGUUGCCUGGCCUGAAGUGCAGUGGCAUGAUCAUGGCUCACUGCAGCCUCAACCUCCCAGGCACAAGUGAUCCUCCCACCUCAACUUCCAGAAUAUAGAAGCUGGAACUACAGUGACCUACAUCCAAAGUGAAAAGUUAUUCAGCCUCUGAAGAGAAGCAUUUUGUUUGGGGAUCUUCAAGUAUGCUUGUCAGCACCGAGAACUGGAAAAAAAUCUCUGAUUGUCCUGCAGCAAUGGCAUUAAAGGCUCCUCAUAACAUACAGAACCAGAAUUGUGCCAUAAUUUACUGAAAUUGAACAUUGCUCUGUGACUGCUAAUUUUCCAUCGAGAUGAUUCUGUCUCUAACCAAGAAAAGAAAAGUUUGUCUUCCUGACUGCUGACACUGCUGACCAAGCCCACCACCAGAUGCCUGGCUGCACACCCAGAGGGCAGCCGCUUCCCGUGGUCCUCUCGAAGAACUUCCCUUUUGCAAUGCAUGUUUAGCAAGUGGAUGAGUUUGUCUUUUCUGAUUUCUCUGCAAGCUCUGCAUUGCCCACCUGAACCAGUGCUUCAGAAGAACUAAUGGGAUCUCUGACCCUCCAACAUCCUCUUCCAGACUUUCACUUUCCUGGCUCCUUGCAGGGACAUGUAAUAAACGUGCUCUCCAGAGAAA
rnacentral:lncRNA from 1 species